GGAAAGCAGAUCUUAUACAGAAGUGUCUUAACCCACAACAACAAGAUGAAGAUCAUUCAGCUUCAGCUCUAUGUAUUAAUGUGUUGUCAGUAUGCAGUGUCAGAUCUAUUAACUGAUCUGGGAUCAAAUGUGAUCAUAAACUGUGAUCUUGAUGAAAAGGAGGUUUAUUGGAUUUUACUGAAAACAGCAGAUCCUCCAACAGUCAUUCUACAAUCAUUCUCAACAUCAGCUUUUUACCAUAAUAAAACAUUCAAAAAUAAAUAUUCAGUGCAGUUUAAACAUCGUCUGGUUAUUAAUAAUGUGACUGCUGAUGAAUUAGGAGUUUAUUACUGCAUGAACACAGGCAUACCUCCAAAACUCAGCAACAGCACCAGAAUAUACUUCAACGAAGCAACCGUGUUAACUGAGUGCCACAAUCAUACAGUGACUGAAUAUAUUGAGCAGAAUCAGACACAGCGGAAGAUUAUUAUAAUCAUAGCAGGUCUGAUGAACGGACUUAUGAUCAUUGUACUGAUUGGGCUAUUAAAAGUUUUUGAUGGAAACAGAAGGUCAGCAGAACAAUCACAACUCAACACUGAUCUACAGCAGA